UUCCUAUCUUUUAUUUGUUUUUUAAUAGUCACGAUUUUACAAUACCCCUACAAUCACCAGCUGACUAUGGUAGUCGGGGUAAACAUUGAAAAAUAUGUACAUAACUAUCUAUCUUGCCUUUUUAAAUUCAUAUUCAAAAUACUAGAAUAUAGUUAUUGAAGAAAAUAUUUACUCACACUCAAACUUUAUCUCACUACUAACACACAGUCGCUACAAUCUUACCAUUAGUAUGCACGCAUCUGUGUAUAUAAAGUAGAAAUCAAAGAUCAACUGCUUACUACAUUAUUAUUCAAAGUGUAUAUAGUGAUAAUAAAUAAGGAAAAAAUGUAUGUAAGCAUUUGCUCUAUUAUUUUUGUUUGCAAUAUACAAAUCAUUAGAUUGGUAUUGUUUUAUUCUGGAUUUAGGUCCUAUCACACCAGGAGCUAUAUGUCUUAACUUACAUCUGAAUAUGUAGUUUUAAGCUAUGAUAAUUAACAAAUUCAUAAACAACCUCUUAGUUAUAAAUCCCACCAAAGUUUUUUCUUACUGAUGCUGAAUUGCUCAUCGCAUGAUUUAAUUUCUGUAUAAAUGACAACUAAAAUGUGUAGGUAACAUUACAAUCAUGAAAUAAAUGUUCUACUGUUUCCUCUUCCUCAUUACAGAAGGUACCUAGACUUGAGCUUGUUUCCUUUUGCUUAAUUCUAUAUAAAAAUUUACUGGUAGGUAUAACUCCAUGUAAUAUCUUAUAUUGAAAAUUCUUUAAAUAUGAAUACCUACAAAAUCUUUUCAAAAGAAAAAAAUUCAUAGACCAUUCUGAGAUUUCAGAAUUUGUUACAUC
rnacentral:lncRNA from 1 species